rnacentral:rRNA from 1 species
AUUGAACGCUGGCGGCAAGCCUAACACAUGCAAGUCGAACGAGUGGCGGACGGGUGAGUAAUGUCUGGGAAACUGCCUGAUGGAGGUGGAUAACUACUGGAAACGGUAGCUAAUACCGCAUCCCAUCGGAUGUGCCCAGAUGGGAUUAGCUAGUAGGUGGGGUAAAGGCUCACCUAGGCGACGCGCCCUAGCUGGUCUGAGAGGAUGACCAGCCACACGGGAACUGAGACACGGUCCAGACGACUACGGGAGGCAGCAGUGGGGAAUAUUGAACAAUGGGCGCAAGCAUGAUGCAGCCAUGCCGCGUGUAUGAAGAAGGCAGUCGGGUUGUAAAGUACUUUCAGCGGGGAGGCGUUACCAGCAGAAGAAGCACCGGCUAACUCCGUGCCAGCCGCCGCGGUAAUUC